rnacentral:tRNA from 1 species
GCCUCGGUUGCUUAGUGGUCAAAGCGUUAUUCUGAAGAUAUAAAUAUGGGAGUUCAAUUCUCUCCCGAGGCA